AAACUGAUUCUGACCCCUUUUAGAUGUUACAUGUUUUAAUCUAGCCUUUUUUAAUAGAUUUGAAUGUGUUAUAGCAUCCUUCUUAUCUUUUUUAAUUAAUCUUAACAUAUUUUGUCACUGUUUAAAACAAGUUCAUUUCAUUCAUUUAAAAAUAAUUAGAAAAAAUUAUGUACCAUUUAAUUACCACAUAAUACUGUCCUGUCUGCGCAUGUGCAUACACAAGCAGACCGCCACUUUUCCCUCCAUUUUCCAUUCGGAAUCGGAAGGACAGGACUGCCUGUGUAUAGCUCCGCUGUCGUGAGGUGAACAUUCUCCACGGCUCUCCGUUUUAACUUCAACUUCCCCGCUGCCCAGCUUGUAUACUGGCCAUGCUGUCUUCCUGACCGACUGUUUUUCUAUCUGAUGUUGGUGUGAUGUAGAACAGAACCUUACUCUUUGGGGACCUCAUGUUGUUUUGUUUAUGUGGCAGUGUAAAGACUGUGGCGCUGAAGUGUCUAAGCGAUCACAAAUUCUCAAACAUUACAGACUAAAACAUAGUCAUUUUGGGCGUGGCCAUCAUAUUAAGUGUAUAUAUCCUGAUUGUCCAUGCAUUUUUAAGGCUUGGAAUACUCUUUUGGUACACUUGUCAAGGAAUCACACCAAUACCUCAAAGCCCUCUGCUGACAUAUUUACUACAUUUUCCUGUCAUCUAUGUGGCUGUAGUGAACUCGGAACAGAACGUGAUUAUUUUGUGCACAUAAGCCAUCAUCUGAGAAACAAUGAGACAGUCACUUGUAUGUUUAAAGGCUGUGCAUACAAAUCCAACAUAUACAGCACCUUCAAGUCACACAAAAGACGGAAGCACAGCUUGCAUUCAUUGGUAGAUUUUAAGGACGGUGUUGUACAAGGAACUUGUGUAGGUGAAACUGGAGAGCCUGGUGUUUCAAACAAUGAGGACAUUUGCGAUGAAAGUCAGUUUGAUGAUGUUGAUUUAGAUACGUCGAAGGAUCAGCCAGAAAUAGAGCAAAAAAUUGCGGCAGUGUUAUUAAAGCUGGAAAAUAUUUUUCAUGUGCCAAGUGCUGCAGUUGAUGAAUUGCUGGAAGAAUUUCAAUAUUUGUUGAGCACAGCAUCUUUGUGUAGUACAAGAAAUGUGAUCCAUGACACACUAAAUAGUUACAAUCUACAAGUUGACCAGUCGGUCAUUGAAGAACUUGCAUCUGCUCUGUGUACAUCUAAUCCUGUGUACAAGGCUAUUGGUAAAGGUUGUCCUUUGGCAACAUCCUUUAAACGCAAGCAAUACUAUAAACACAAUUUUAAAGUUGUGGAACCCAUAGAAUAUAUCUUGGAUGAGAAAGAUAAAAGAACGCUACAGUAUGUUCCACUAUUAAAGUUUUUGCAGCAGCUUUUCACUGAUGGUCACAUUCUUAACAAAGCAUUAGACAGUCAACUCAUAUCAGAGGAUAGAGGAGAAGAAGUGGUAUACAAGUCUUUUCGAGAUGGUUUGUUUUUCAAGGAUAACCAUUUUUUGUCAGGAGGUGAAUUGCGAGUGUUACUGAAUUUGUAUGUCGAUGACUUUGAGAUUUGUAAUCCGCUUGGCACAUCUCGUAAAAAGCACAAGAUCUGUGGCGUUUAUUGGACUCUCAGCAAUUUACCACCAGGUUGCCAUUCUUCGUUAUCUUCUAUUUAUUUGGCCUUACUCUGCAGGUCUGACGAUGUGCGAACAUAUGGCUAUGAAAGGGUCCUAGAGCCCUUGUUGAGGGAUCUUGUCAUUUUGGAAAGUCAAGGUAUUUUUAUUGCACAGCUUGGAGAUUGUGUUAAGGGCACAAUACAGUGUGUCAUAGCUGACAAUUUGGGAGCACAUGGAGUAGCUGGAUUUCUUGAGAGUUUUUCAGGUGGGUACAUUUGCCGUUUUUGUGUGGCACAAAAGUCUGAAAUUCAGGAGAGGGAAGUGAGUUCAGGUGCAUUUACUCUCCGAAGCAAGGAGAUGCAUGAAACGCAUGUCAGAUCAGCACAGGAAAAUCAAAAACAUUGUUAUGGUGUUAAAAGAAGUUGUGUUUUCUCUGCACAUCUUUCUCAUUUCAAUGUCUGUACUGGCUACCCUCCAGAUAUUGCACAUGACAUCUUUGAAGGCAUAUUACCAGUCGAGUUGGCACACUGCCUCAAUUUGUUCAUUUCCAAAAGAUAUUUCACCCUUGAAAAUCUCAAUGAGUCCAUUAAGAAAUUCCCUUACAAGUGGACAGACAAGAGUAACCGUCCUCAUGCUAUUCCCAGGGCAUUCACGGUGAAGAAAACUAUUGGAGGAAAUGCUCACGAAAAUUGGAGUCUUUUGCGAUUGCUUCCAUUUUUGGUUGGACAGUUGGUGCCCCCAGAUGAGCCAGCCUGGCAGGUCGUUUUGGACCUUAAAGAUAUCGUCGAACUAGUUGUUGCACCAGUGCACACGACACAAUCCAUUGCUUUCCUUGAAGCCAAGAUUUGUGACCAUAGACAUAGGUUACAAGAGGUGUUUCCGGGUAUAAAGAUCUUGCCCAAACAUCAUUUUGUGGAACAUUAUCCACAGAUGAUCCGGUCUUUUGGCCCACUAGUUGGGAUGUGGACAAUGAGGUUUGAGGCGAAACACAGUUUUUUUAAGCAGGUAGUCCGCCACACACGCUGCUUUAAAAACAUACUCUUGUCCCUGGCGGUGAAGCAUCAGUUCAUGAUGGCAUAUCAUUUGGAGUCAGCCACAACCGAAAAGUCUAGCCUGACUGUCUCAGCUGUUUCAACGGUCUCUGUUGAUAUUUUGCAUCAGGAUGUACAGAAGGUCCUACAGCUGAGAGACCCUGAUAUUGCUCACAUUCAGCUCACAAAGAAUGCAUCUGUUAAUGGAGUGAACUACAGGGAGGGUAUGGUUAUUGCUCAUGGCUCUGCUGGUGGCUUGCCAGAGUUUGCAGAAGUUAUCCAGAUGGUUGUUGUGGAACAGAGCUUGAGCUUUAUUGUUAAAGAGCUGAGUGCUUGGUAUAGGGAGCAUUUUAGGGCAUUUGAGUUAUGUCCCACGUCACAAGUCUCUCUCAUUCAACUUGGCGCCUUGGUAGACCAGUACCCCUUGGCAGAUUACAGGAUUGGAGGACGGCGAAUGGUGACACUUAAACGAUUCAUACACAUAAAAGAUUGAAGAAUGGCACGACAUCUGAAGUUGAGGGUCAUUGUGGACACGGAUGACUGUAGAAGACUUGAUCUCCAUUCAGGAAUGCCAAAAACUCUGACAGAGUUACACGAUACAAUUUGCCAAGCAUUUGGAAUUGAAAGAGACUUUCGUAUUCAGUUCAUGGAUCCUGACUUCAAUAAUGAUUUCAUGAAUGUUACAUCAGUACAAGACAUACAGGACCGAAGUACGAUCAAGGUGGUGUACAUACUUGAUGAUGUGGGUUCGAGUCCAUCUUCUUCAGUGCAGAAUGCUCCCAGCACUCCUGGAUCAUCUGGAGCACCAGUAAGCAGGCAAACAUCUUCCAGUGUGUCGUCAUUAUCCUCAACAAACUCGGAUAGCACCAUUAUUCUGCCACGUACAGACACUGAACUGAGAACACGUGCAUGGCCACGCAAAUUCCCCAUUCCUCUCUUUCCAUACAAUGUAGAGGUGCAGCUUCGACGUGGAAAUGAGAGCUUCAGAGAAACUGGCACUCGACUGCAGAUCACACCAGGGCUGAAAUCGGACAUCUUGGAGAAGCUAGCCGAGGACAUUUUCCAGUAUACGGCAUAUCCACAAAAUCUCCAAAUAGAGGAGGUAGCAGGGGCACUCGUCCAAAAAUGUCCCUGUUUGAAAGAACCAUCUGCCACUGGUUACUAUGGCUGGAUGAUUAGCCUAAAAUAUAAAAUGGCUAAUUACAGGACAAAGAUGCGAAACCUUGGCUGUCCAGAAGUGACUGUAAAUGCUUUGAAAAACAAAUCAAGUGAUGAAUGCAUCCCAGCCAAAAAUGUAAAGAAACCUAAAAAGGCUGAAGUCAACUAUUGUCCUUCACACCCUGCUGGCGAAACAGAUGAAAGCCUAGAAAAUCUGAGACUUGAACUAUUGAAUGAUGUCAGACAAAGAAGCAAUGCACCGUGUGUAAAACAGAAGAUGUCCAAAACAUUCUCCUACAGAAGAAAAGAGGUGGUGCAGGGAAAUCUAUCUGCUGGAGAGUUCAAAGCCAGGUGGCCUGCACUUUUCCAUAUUGAUGAGAUACAUGCUGAAUUCCAGCGCAUAACAACUAUCCCACUUGAAACGGCCUUCAUGGCGCAGUUGGACAGCCAUCUACCUCAGCUGACAUCUGUCUUCCAGAAGAAGGGAGGAGUUGUUGGCCAGAAACUAGCCAAACAUCUGGCGAUUUUGCAAAAGGUAAAUGCAACAAGUGAUGUUAACCUUAAAAGGGAAGCAAUCCUCAAGGCACUUUGCAUCCACCUUGGUGAGGAUGAUGGACAUCUCAUUCGGGAGUAUAUGGACAUCGGAGGAGAUGACAUCACCAGAGACCUGCAGAAAUCUACCAUGGGCGUAUACGUCAUCAACAAGGAUGGUGGAGAACCUGGACAUUAUGACGACGUUGGGAUUUUUGUUGUAGGACUAAUCAUUCUGGACAACAUUGGAUCUGUAGCCCGAGCUUGUGCCAUCAUGCUGGGAGUCAUCUAUACACUGAACAUGGCUUACCCCAAAGAGCUAAGGUACUACUAUGAAUUCAUUCAGAAAGUGCUCUUGCAAAUGGAUGGUGAAAGGCUUUCCCCCAAAGUCCUUGGACUGAAGAACAAGAUACAUGCUGGACUGUAGGAUUUCUUCAGCCGCUCUUGUGAACCGAUGCCAUUAAAGCAUUACAAAAACACCAGUCAAACCUCAAAGGUUGGGAGAAGAAUGUGGAAAUGUUGAUGGACUUAGAAGACAUGUAUUACAUGUAUUAAUGUGUAGGUUAUAUUCUCCUCAGCUGUGUAAGUCACAUGCUUCAUGUUACGUCAGGAUUUAUUCUCUGUCUGUUUCCACUGCACUUUGUUGCAUUUCGUUUUUAUCGAAACGGCAACUUUUUCUACCUUAGCCAAGCGUAAAACAUUUUAUUUUUUAUAUUGGCAAUUUACAUCUAGUUCUGGAGAAGAAUGGGAAAAUAUUACAUGUAUUAAUGUGUAAGUUAUAUUCUCCUCAGCUGUGUAAGUCACAUGCUUCAUGUUACGUCAGGAUUUAUUCUCUGUCUGUUUCCACUGCACUUUGUUGCUGUCAUGGCCUCCACCUCUGCCUAGUCUGUCUCUCCCCAUGCGUGUGUGUGUGUCCACAAUCCAAUCACCUCUGCUAUAAGACUCCGGCCCUGACUCCUCCACUUCGCCAUAUCGUAGACUCUGUAACCACAGCUUCAAGCCAGCCUGACUCCUAUCCUGUCUCCAGACCACCUCCAACGUUGGACCCUGUCCCGCUCCUCCAGGCUCUUCUCCCUGCACUCUCCAACCUGGUCAGACCUCCGUUCCCUUGGACUCCGUCUAGCUUCCCUGGCUCAGACCCCCCUGCCCAGUAAUAUUCAAUAAACGUUAUUAUUGUGUUUGAAACUCCUGCCUCCUGUCUCUGCUCAGCUCCUGGGUUCCCUGCUAGCCUUAACAGUGGCCAGAUUGUACUGUUAAGGCUAACAGGGAACCCAGGAGCAGAGAGUUUCAAGCAAAAUAAUAACGUUUAUUGAAUAUUACUGGGCAGUAGGCAGGGGGGUCUGGGCCAGGGAAGCUAGACUGAGUCCAAGGGAGAGGGGAACGGAGGUCUGACCAAGUUGGAGAGU